rnacentral:rRNA from 1 species
GAUGAACGCUGGCGGCGUGCCUAAUACAUGCAAGUCGAGCGAACAGAUAAGGAGCUUGCUCCUUUGACGUUAGCGGCGGACGGGUGAGUAACACGUGGGUAACCUACCUAUAAGACUGGGAUAACUUCGGGAAACCGGAGCUAAUACCGGAUAACAUUUGGAACCGCAUGGUUCUAAAGUGAAAGAUGGUUUUGCUAUCACUUAUAGAUGGACCCGCGCCGUAUUGGCUAGUUGGUAAGGUAACGGCUUAUCAAGGCGACGAUACGUAGCCGACGUGAGAGGGUGAUCGGCCACACUGGAACUGAGACACGGUCCAGGCUCCUACGGGAGGCAGCAGUAGGGAAUCUUCCGCAAUGGGCGAAAGCCUGACGGAGCAACGCCGCGUGAGUGAUGAAGGGUUUCGGCUCGUAAAACUCUGUUAUUAGGGAAGAACAAAUGUGUAAGUAACUGUGCACGUCUUGACGGUACCGAAUCAGAAAGCCACGGCUAACUACGUG